rnacentral:rRNA from 1 species
AACGAACGCUGGCGGCAUGCCUAACACAUGCAAGUCGAACGAAGGCUUCGGCCUUAGUGGCGCACGGGUGCGUAACGCGUGGGAAUCUGCCCCUUGGUUCGGAAUAACAGUUAGAAAUGACUGCUAAUACCGGAUGAUGUCUUCGGACCAAAGCUUUAUCGCCGAGGGAUGAGCCCGGGUAGGAUUAGGUAGUUGGUGGGGUAAAGGCCUACCAAGCCGACGAUCCUUAGCUGGUCUGAGAGGAUGAUCAGCCACACUGGGACUGAGACACGGCCCAGACUCCUACGGGAGGCAGCAGUGGGGAAUAUUGGACAAUGGGCGCAAGCCUGAUCCAGCAAUGCCGCGUGAGUGAUGAAGGCCCUCGGGUCGUAAAGCUCUUUUACCCGGGAUGAUAAUGACAGUACCGGGAGAAUAAGCCCCGGCUAACUCCGUGCCAGCAGCCGCCGUAACAC